GGGUUCUGCACAGAGACCCACGCUACUGCGCUGUGUGGGUUCUGCACAGAGACCCACGCUACUGCGCUGUGUGGGUUCUGCACAGAGACCCACGCUACUGCGCUGUGUGGGUUCACGUCAUCUUGUUUGCUGUGCACAGCUCACCUGAGGAUUACCAUGGACUUGCAACUUCUUCAUGUUUCUCUCUUUUAAAAAAACAAACCAACAACUUAAAUAGAGACCUGAAGAAAUACACACACACACUCACACACACUCACACAUACUCACACUCACACACUGUUGUAGACUGUGUUCAAGUCCGUCCAGCGGGUCCAGACUGCCUCACUCCCCCUGGUGUCGGUGUUAAAGGGACUCACGGGGUCCAUGCUUUAUUUUUCCAGUACUACUGUUCCCGUGUGUUUUAUGCAAUCCUGACCCCUGACCUCUGGCUCCUCCAUCCAGCCCAGCCCAGCAUGAGGCCUUGACCCUUGACCCUCUCAGCGACCUGCUUGUCUUAGCUUCCUCCGUUUUCCACGGGUUAAUGUUUACAUGUGGGCAAGACUGUCCUGACUGAAACUCACCAUGCUGCAGGUUCUGUCCUACUGGAGGAGGGGAAGGGAAAAGAAGAGAGAGAAGGAAGGAAGGAAGGAAGGAAGGAAGGAAGGAAGGAAGGAAGGAUGGAAUGAAGGAUGGACACGCAGUAUGAAGGAACAUUCAGUUCUUUUUUUUUAUCCAGGGCUCCCUCUGUAUCCGACUUGAAGAAUCCUUUUUGUUUAUCCAUUUUUACCUGUAUGAAGUGUUGUAUAUUUUGAUACAAGUGUUAUUUCAUGGGACUUUUUAAUGCAUUGGUGCAUUGCAGACUAACUUGAAGAUGCUCCUGUGGUGGUUACAUGGAUUUUUAUGGAUGGCUGUGUUGCACUUGAGAGGGUUCAGUUUUCAGAUCAUGUGUGUAGGAGUUCACCAUAGAUAUGCCAAGUCUAUUUAACCAGUCUUGUAAUAUGUAGAUAGUGCUGCUUCAGGAAGACUUGACGGUGUCACCUUCCUCUGAGAAACGGUACUUCUAUGAUAGUUCUGUGCUUCUGUUCUGUUCUCUCUCUCAAUAUGGAUUUUAAUGUCUUUUAAUGCCCACCAAGCUUUCUUUUAGAUGCAAUGUAUUAUUUAACAUAGGAUGUAGGAUGUGAAGACUGGAACCUCCCGACUCUAAAGAAGGGAGAUGUAUAGUGCAGACCUGUUCCAUGAGGGUUUGUCAAACAUGUUUACAUUAUGUGGGGGGUGUCCUUCUCCCUUAAACAUAAAAAAAAGGUGAUUUUGUAUUUCUACUUGACAGCACAACCACUCUGUUUGAUACCGCGUCACAUGAGACUGUGCAUCCUAACACUACUCUCACUUUUGAAAUGUUUUUAUUGUUUGUUUCUUUUCUACUGGCGCUCCAUGGCCACCGUAAGCCUCUCAGCAUUCGAUGGAUAUCACCUUUCUCACUUUGGCAUGCCUCAUGUUCCGUUCGCUCUCCAGGAUGUUUUUUGGAAGUUGCAUGCAGCAUGAGCACAUGGCCAUACACACACACAGAGACAUUCACAGUUGUACACGCACACACGGUUGCACGGCAGAGUGGGUAGGAUGGUCCAGCCUGUUCUAGUGUUGCCUGUCUCAUGUUGAACAUAGGAAAGAGCUUUGAGCUCAGACAUUUUUCCACGUCUUCACAGACUCAUGUCGUCAUUCAUUUUUCUUUUUCCCCAUUUGAAAGAUUCUCACUUAUGUUUAAGUCCACUUUUGAAGUCUUUUAAGCCGUCUCUGUGUGUCUGUUGUGAGUGGAAGAGGCAUCACUGCCCUGAAUAAUGUGGUCCGUGAUCCUCUCCAGCGUUCAUCCUCGCCUCUUGUCACCUUGUGCUAGUGAUCACCCCAUCACCCUCAGCUGUCAUACCUCAGUCAGAGGGGACCCGUUGCAUGUUUGAACCUUAGCUGUCUCUGUUUCACCUUAAACUCCACUGGAAGAUGUGUUAUUUGAUAAGGGUCAUGUAUUUGGUGUUUGCACGUCUGAAGGGAUUCAUCCAUGACAUUUCAGUCUGAAUGGGUCGCUAAAAUCACAGUGACUAAGCUAAGAGUGGUCGCUAAAAUCACAGUGACUAAGCUAAGCAGUCGCUCAGAGAUCACCCAUGUUGGCUCAGUACCUGAGGAUUCAAUGCUUUGUUUUGUUUGCGGCAGAAUUGACUUCCAGAACAGUGCAGAUUUUGUGCGAAAACGUAUUUAUUCUUUUUUAAUUAUGAUUUACUGUUCAUCAGUGUUUUUAUAAUAAACUAUACCCAUGGCUUUGGUAUGGUGCAGACUUCCCUUUUGCCUUUGUUUAUUAAUUUAAUUUUGCAUUAGACGUUUGGUUGAGCAUUGCGAACCAAUCGGGAUUGCAGGAAUAGUUUUAUUGUUACUAAAAUGAGUUCAUUAUUCCUAAAUUAGUCACUUUUGUAAAUUGAAAAUGUACUGUUUUCCAUCACAUAAAAUACAGAUAAUAAGCUCUUGACUUUACUCACUCUCUCUCUCUCUUUAAUAUAUAUAUAUAAAAGGGGCAUUGAUUUCCUUUCAUGCUUAGCUUCCCGUCAUGAAUAGUGGACCACCACCUACAAGUCAACCUGUUCAACUUUUCAAGCCUAGUCCUCGUCUCCGAUCCAGUUAAAAUCGCCUGUAGUCAGGGGGUCUCGUUCUGUGCACGCCUGCACAUUCCCGUAUCCCUCUUUCCCUUUUGGACUUGCAUACGUCUUCAAGCAGUGAAAAGUAAAACAGGAAAACGGACUUCCUCUGGAAAUUACAAACCACGACCUCCCUGCCUGCUGAUCAGAAUGAGUGAAUGACAGGCAAGCAAACAAGCCAAUCAAGAGCGAGUGGUACCUCAGACCUCACUGCCUCAUUGGUCAGCUACAAGAACAGCCCGGAACAGGGUCACUUCCUGUUCCCCGUACGGUGCCACAGUGAAGCCUGAGCACAGAGCUGUGAAGGAGGAGCGUAGUGUGUGUGUGUGUGUAUGUCAAUAAGAGUGUGUGAGGAGUGUAUGAGGAGUAUGGUGGCGAUGCCAUCCCUCUGUUCA
ensembl:lncRNA